GGGGCUUCAAACAGUUAACGCGGAAGUCAAUUAUCUUUUUAUUCAAUUUUUUGUGAGUGUUUUGAAGGCUCCUCCCCUCAUGCAGCGAACUGGAAUGCCGUUGUGAGAUAAAAUGGGCCCGUGUGAGGACGGCGGUGCCGGAGAGCUAAAAGAGCCUUCUGUAAGCAGUAUGAAGUCCUAAUUCUAGGAAGACCUCGGGUAGCAUUGGAUGGUAGUGGAUGGAUGGAUGGAUUUUAACACUGUUAGCCGUGGUCUGGUGCUUCUCAGUCCUUUGAUGCCGCUCCGUCUAAAGGUUCUGGAAGGAUGAGACCCAGGCAACUCCAAAGCUCUUGCUUAAGCAUCCAGCAUCUUUACUCUCCAUCUGAGUCAGCCUCAGGCGGCGAAAAGAGAAGCCAUCUUGACCAAGAGAACUUCCUUAACACAAAUAUUUCUGACACGAUUUCCAGCCUUGGAGAGACGUUCGUUGUAACUUCCUGGACACUGAUGUGGAGAAUGGAACUUGAAGAACUCUCUGGAACAUCUGAUUUGAGGGCGGCCUUUGGGUCCCGGAGUGUGAAUUGUGGACGGUAGACCUUGGCAAGUCUGGA